GUCUGCACCGUGUGGGUGUGUGUUGUUUAUCGUCUACGAAAUACGCGAAUCAGUCGGCGAAACAAUUUUUAAAUGCUUAAUUAAGCAAUAUUAUCGUCUUUUGAAGAGGAUUCGGCGUAAAUGUAAGUAUUAAUUUAAACUUAAAUUUCGAAAUCGAUUUUACGGUAAAGUAGGUCAAAGACAAACUACAGUCGCCAUUUUUUCUGCUUACGACUCCGUCGUUGUCUGUCGGGUUAGACCGAAGCCAACGUUUUCCAUCCCACUAAACGGUUUUAUGCUUUAUUAAUAGAAAUAUUUAGACGUAUUCUGACGUCAUUUCUCACGCAGAAUCGAAUGGUAUAUAUAAAAACGCCCGAACUGUUUCGUACUUGAGUAUAUUUAUUUCAUUUAAUUAAUAGCGACUUAUUAAAAAAUACUUUCUCGUUCUUCGACAGUAACAAAAUGCAGUAAUUUUAUUUGCCUUAUUUCGUUAUGUAUACGAGGAAAAAGGACGUUUAGGAAUGGUGUCGUUGACGACCUUCGAUUCCGACGUGGCGAGGUAAACGUCAUUAUGACGUCACUUUAAAAUUAUUUGUCUUGUGAACGGUAAGGGUGGAGUUAUAAACUCCGUAACGUAACCGUAUUCGUAGCUGUAAGCGUAUCCGUAUAGCGUGGUUAUAAACUCCGUAUCGUAUCCGUAUGGCCGUACCGUAUUCGGUAAGAAAAGUUUGGUUCGAUCAAACUUUUACGGUAAGAAUACGAAGAACUGACCAAUUGCGCAUGCGUUAAGUCGAGUAUAAUCGGAAGUUAUGCCGGAAGCAACCCAAUAAAGCUUUGACAAAUUGAUUGAAACGUAAAUUUUGUCCGAUAAUGUUGCUUCUGAAGAAUAUAAAAUUUUAAGAUAAGAAUUACUUUGGUUAUAAAAAAAUAUAGAAAAAUGUUAAAAUGAAUAAAUAAUUAGUGUUAGAUCUGGCAAUAACUACAGAUGAUUUUGCGCAUGCUCACAAUGCAUUGCUUUGUAAAUCGUAAGAUAAACUUGUUCCCUUAAGGAUACGGAAAAGCUCUUGUGCAGCGUUGCCAUUCCUAGUACAUUUGUACUUUUCGGGUACAUUUUGCCCUUUCCAGUAAAUUGAAAGUACGGAAAUAUACAAAAGAGUGGCUAACAAAAAAUCAGUUGGUGUUAACAAAAGCUGACAAAACCAAGCAAAUGAUGGUACGGAAAUAUUUUAUAUUAUAGAAUUUGGGUAACAAGUAUUAAGUAUCAUAAUUGAAGGAACAAUAUUUACUGAAAAGUUUGUCUUUUGCCAGUUUAUUAAUUAAAAUCACUGUAUUUACUAUUAUAUUAGACGAGGUUUUUAUUCAUUUGUCACAGUUUCAAAUUCCUAGGUCGCCCUACAUGCGUGAGCGAAAGAUUCUUUCUGUUUUGCAAAUAAUUUUUAUUUAUUUUUUUUUACACUCUUGUAUUUAAAAAAGACUAUUUUAUCCUGGUUGUUUGAGUUGUUCCUAUACAUUGUCAGGAGUGAAGAUGAAUAGCAAUAGGAAAACAAAAGCUUUUUAAAUUAAAUUCUAGAUCGAAAUUCAACUUAACCUUUCUUAAUGCCCUUAAAAUAUAAGUACCUGAAUAUUGAUAUUCCAUAUUCAUAACUUGACAUUAUUUUUAAUUUAUCACCAAUGACAUAAAACAGAAAUGGUGCAAAUAUCCUUGUUUUUGAGUUAUAUAAUUACUUUCUGUGGCACAUACAUAAUUUCUUGUAAAUCCACACUUUCCUAAACCCCAAUACACUUCCAACAUCUGUAAUGAUAAUUGACUCUAUAUAUUUUAAGAGGCGUAAAUAUGUUAUCACCCUUAUGAUUUAAGGCUGGCAGAACAACACUUUAAUUACAAAUGUAUACAAAAAUGGGACUUUGCAAUCUGAUUGACUUUUGGAUGAUGACAGAUUUUGAAAUUCAGAAGAAUAACUGAGAAUAGUCUUUUCUAAUGUUUGAAGCAGCAAGUAUGUUUUGUUGUUUGGACAUUUUUAGAGCAAUAUAUAUAUAUAUAUAUAUUUUGUAUACAGGUGCUCACUUACAAACAGGUCUUGUCAUAUGUUGAAAACUAACCUAGAAAGUACAUUUGUACACACAGUAACCGCUUAUUGUUAGUGUUUGAUUCAGUAUACUUAAUAGAACACAUUACAUUCAUUUACCUGUUGCUACUGCUUAAUAGCGGGUGUUUCAAAUGUUUUUUUCCCACAGUAACAUGGUCGCACUUGCAUUUAUCUCCAUUGCUAGAUUUAAUAGUUUUUGGAUGCAUUUUUGAAGCACUAAUUGUAAAUGUUUAUAAAAAUUGCAAACAACAGUGAAAAAUGUCAUUAUUCCAAAGUUACAGAUUUUGAUGCCACCUCACAAGUGGAAAUAGAACGUCACAAACACGAAAAUGAAAAGUGGUGAUACACAAUAGAAAUAAAUUCACAUUAAUUAUUAAAAAUUGUUUAUUACUGGCUAAAGACUGAUUUCAGCACUACCCCUUGUGGCAAGAGAAUUUCGGAAAUUGUGUUUGUGUACAGUCCAAUUUUUUGCAAGUCUGAACAUUCAUAAAUAAGGGGGUACCUGUAUUUAUAAUAUAAAAAUAAAAUGUUGAAAUAUCUUAAUUAUUAAAUUAAUUAAAAUAUCUAUAACCAUGAGGCAGAUAAUAGUAAGGGCUUAUCACACCAAUGAUAAUGGCACAAACACUCAAGAAUCUAAGUAAAAACAUUUAAUAAAACAAAAAGGGGUGUACAAUAAGAUGAUUACAUAAGUAUAAAAACCAUAAAAAUUGACAAUGCAUUUCGGACUAUUUUCCAAUAGAAAAAUAGUCCCUCAUCAGUUGGUAUUAAAAAGAGGUCUUAGUAUAUUUAAAAAUUAUACAAGGUGAAAAAAAAUAAAUUUAAACUUAAAACUAUGCCUAAAGCUAUACAAUAUGACUGUACGAGCAGUAAGCAUUAUCAAUGUAGACAGGAGUAAUAUUUCUUCUUAACGUUGCAUGGUAACGUGACAAACAGGGUGCUGAUACA